rnacentral:rRNA from 1 species
UACGGGAGGCAGCGGUGGGGAAUAUUGCACAAUGGGCGCAAGCCUGAUGCAGCCAUGCCGCGUGUAUGAAGAAGGCCUUCGGGUUGUAAAGUACUUUCAGUCGUGAGGAAGGUGUUAAGGUUAAUAACCUUAGCAAUUGACGUUAGCGACAGAAGGAGCACCGGCUAACUCCGUGCCAGCAGCCGCGGUAAUACGGAGGGUGCGAGCGUUAAUCGGAAUUACUGGGCGUAAAGGGCACGCAGGCGGUUAAUUAAGUUGGAUGUGAAAUCCCCGGGCUUAACCUGGGAAUGGCAUUCAAGACUGGUUAGCUAGAGUCUUGUAGAGGGGGUAGAAUUCCAUGUGUAGCGGUGAAAUGCGUAGAGAUGUGGAGGAAUACCGGUGGCGAAGGCGGCCCCUGGGACAAAGACUGACGCUCAUGUGCGAAAGCGUGGGGAGCAAACAGGGAUUAGAUACC